UCCUUUUUACCUUGAAGGUUGCACCACAGAUCUCUUCUUCAUUUGCAGGAACAGCAGUCACCUUGUUCUUUGGGUUCUCAUAGCACUUCAAGCCUCCAAGAGCAUUGGAAUAGAAGCAACCUGCGGGAAAGGUGCAAGUGACUUGCCACAUGAUCCUUUAAGCAGGUCAAUGUCGUUAGAGAAGGCAACAGAUCCAUCAGCAGUUAUCCCCCAGAACAGAGGCACCUUGCCCCAGAGGCCACAAGGAGAGAAGAGGUGGACUUGUCGAAGAGCACAAAGGCGUAGCUGCCGGUGAGCUGCGAGAGCAUGAAGCUAGCAGGGUAAGGUGCUCUGUCUCUCAGCGUCUUGUACGCCUCGAUAACCAGGAGCACCUCAUUGGCGCCCUUGGACAGGCCAUACUGCUGGCUCAGCCUGCCCAGAUUGUCCAGGACUCCCUCAAACAGGCAGAAAAUUAGAAGCAGCAGCUAGUAUACCUUGGGCGGAGGAGGGAUUGGUUGGCGUGGGAGUAGGCGAGGUGGCCAAGGUCGCCGAGCUGCAGGGACACGGCCGGCUCGGCGGCGGCGAGGAAGCGGCCGACCAGCUCCGACGCCCGCGUCUUGGGCGACGGCGUCCGGCUGCCGGCGGCCACCAGCUCCGCCGGCACCUCCACCACCGCGCCGCUGAACACAGCCAACAUCCUC
rnacentral:sRNA from 1 species